rnacentral:rRNA from 1 species
GACGAACGCUGGCGGCGUGCUUAACACAUGCAAGUCGAACGGUGAAGAGCCUUCCUUUGUGGUGGGUGUGGAUGAGGGGCGAACGGGUGAGGAACACGUGAGUAACCUGCGCCCUGCUUCUGGAUAACCGCAUGAAAGCGUGGCUAAUAAGGGAUAUUCUGGGUCUGUCGCAUGAUGGGCCGGGGAAAGGUAUUGUUGCGGCGGGGGGUGGGCUCGCGGACUAGAAGCUUGUUGGUGGGGUGAUGGCCUACCAAGGCGGUUAUGGGUAGCCCGCCUGGGGGAGUGGACUGGCACUCUGGUUCUGCGACACGGCUCAGACUCCUACGGGACGCAGCAGUGGGUAAUAUUGCACACUGGGCGCAAGCCUGAUGCAGCGUCGCCGCGUCUGGGAUGGAGGCCUUCGGGUUGUUAACCUCUUUCGCCAGUGAAGCAGUCCUGCCUCGUUUGUGCGUGGGUUGACGGUAGCUGGACAAGAAGCGCCGGCUAACUACGUG